AGGGAGUGUUGAUCCUGGCUCAGGAUGAACGCUGGCGGCGUGCUUAACACGUGCAAGUCGAACGAAACAACUUAUUACGAUCCCUUCGGGGUGACGAUUUGUUGACUGAGUGGCGGACGGGUGAGUAACGCGUGGGUAACCUGCCUUGUACAGGGGGACAACAGUUGGAAACGACUGCUAAUACCGCAUAAGCGCACAGCUUCGCAUGAAGCAGUGUGAAAAGUUAUUUCGGUACAAGAUGGACCCGCGUCUGAUUAGCUAGUUGGUGAGGUAACGGCCCACCAAGGCGACGAUCAGUAGCCGACCUGAGAGGGUGACCGGCCACAUUGGGACUGAGACACGGCCCAAACUCCUACGGGAGGCAGCAGUGGGGAAUAUUGCACAAUGGGCGAAAGCCUGAUGCAGCGACGCCGCGUGAGCGAAGAAGUAUUUCGGUAUGUAAAGCUCUAUCAGCAGGGAAGAUAAUGACGGUACCUGACUAAGAAGCACCGGCUAAAUACGUGCCAGCAGCCGCGGUAAUACGUAUGGUGCAAGCGUUAUCCGGAUUUACUGGGUGUAAAGGGAGCGUAGGCGGUUUUACAAGUCUGAUGUGAAAGCCCGGGGCUCAACUCCGGUAUUGCAUUGGAAACUGUAGAACUAGAGUGUCGGAGGGGUAAGUGGAAUUCCUAGUGUAGCGGUGAAAUGCGUAGAUAUUAGGAGGAACACCAGUGGCGAAGGCGGCUUACUGGACGAUUACUGACGCUGAGGCUCGAAAGCGUGGGGAGCAAACAGGAUUAGAUACCCUGGUAGUCCCCU
rnacentral:rRNA from 1 species